rnacentral:lncRNA from 1 species
GGUGCCUCUUCCUCCUCACAUACUAUCUCCCAAAGAUCCAAUGACGCCAAAAGUAGCUCCAUUUUGGCCUUCCAGUGGUGAAAGUUGUCACCUCUAAACUUUUCUACCAUUCUUAAGCUAUCACUCUCAAAAGAUGCCAUCUCAAGCUACAAGUAGGUCCAAAAAUCUCUUGAUUUGGAGUUGUAAUGCAAAAGAUAUGACUACUCAAAGAUUGCUGAACUACAAACUCAGAAUUCGCUGUUUUGCAACUUUUUGCAUACUUUGAGUCCAAAUCACGUCUAAAUAGUGGAAAAUG